rnacentral:piRNA from 1 species
UACGGGAGACUUUGGGCAUUCGCCUUA